CCUACGGGUGGCAGCAGUGGGGAAUAUUGGACAAUGGGCGAAAGCCUGAUCCAGCCAUGCCGCGUGUGUGAAGCAGGCCUUCGGGUUGUAAAGCACUUUCAGUGGGGAAGAAAGCCUUGGGGCUAAUACCCUCGAGGAAGGACAUCACCCACAGAAGAAGCACCGGCUAACUCCGUGCCAGCAGCCGCGGUAAUACGGAGGGUGCGAGCGUUAAUCGGAAUUACUGGGCGUAAAGCGCGCGUAGGCGGUCUGAUAAGCCGGUUGUGAAAGCCCCGGGCUCAACCUGGGAACGGCAUCCGGAACUGUCAGGAUAGAGUGCAGGAGAGGAAGGUAGAAUUCCCGGUGUAGCAGUGAAAUGCGUAGAGAUCGGGAGGAAUACCAGUGGCGAAGGCGGCCUUCUGGACUGACACUGACGCUGAGGUGCGAAAGCGUGGGUAGCAAACAGGAUUAGAUACCCGUGUAGUC
rnacentral:rRNA from 1 species